AUUGACGAAACUAUUUCAUAUGCAAAAUAGUGUACUUAAAUGACAUAUGUUGAUGGUAGCCUACUCUUUUAUCAGCAGGAGUGACUUUGAAACACAUGGCAGUGUUUUCCCUGAGGAACAGUCACAUUUAAAUUGUCUGCAUUUGUGAUGCUGGAACGACAAUCUAAAAUUCCAACCAAUCUUUAGAAAAAUGUUUAUACAUCAUAUUAGGGCAUUAUAUAAUUAGUAGUAUAUAUAGUUAUCUGUGGGUGAGAGAGCAAAACAAACCAAAAACAAUUAAAAGCUUUUCUAAAUAGAUUUUACAUUUGUUGGUACACAUGAAGUCAGCAAAGAGAAUCACAGUACAUCUGUAAAGCUGGGUUGGAAUAAGUAAUAUUGGAAGACCUUGGCCCUCAGUGUACGAUCUGUAAUAAUAGAGUAUAGAAACAGUUGGAAUAGUUUAUCAAACUUACAUGUUUACUUAGAGUCAUGACGUGGCAGCAGUUGGACAUUGGGACGAAUGAGCAUUCUCAAAUGAGUUGUUUGAAUUUGUGGUACAUCUUCUGAAAUAGUAAUGCUUUCUUUAGCUUUUAUUUAGCUUAUUAUUAAAAUAGAAUGAGUAACCAACACUACACGUGGCGAGCCAGACAUAGUGACUUCUGCAUAUGAGCCCUGCACUUAGGAAGCAGGGGCAGGAGGUCUGUGAGUUCAGUGUGUCAGCCUGUGCUAUAUCCCUGCCUGACGAAUGAAACCAAACCAACAACAAAAAAGAUUUUAAAAAGGCAGGAACUGAAUCUACGAGAUGACUCAACUAGUUAAGAGCAUUUACGGUUCCUGCAAAGGACCUGAGUUUAUUUUAUAGUACUUGACAGCUCACCAGCACCUUUAACUGCGACUCUAUGGUAUCCAGUGCCCCCUCUUCUGACCACUGUGGGCACCUGUACACAUGUGCAUUGAGUGGACACGCACAUGCAUGCAUACUAAAAAUGUCUUUAAAAAGUAGAAGCUCUUUGUAAAGAUGAACAAAAAAUGUUACACUACUUAGGGCGAAACAACAAUGAAUAAAAUCAACCCAGUUUAUUAAAUGAUAUUCCAAUAAAUCUUGAUGUCUUGAUCAGUGGUGGAACCAUUGACUAUAAAACUCUCAAAAGGUAUAUAAAGGCUAGACAGGCUUGAAUUGGUUUUAAAAGCAGACAGAUUGAUUGAAUAAUUUAAAGUGUUAUCCUUAUUUAAAUAUAUUACCUUCUGGUUAUCAUUUUAAUGGGUAAAUCAUUGCAAUAGUGGAUUAUGAUUUACAUUGUUCAUCAGACUAAACUGAUAUAUCAUGUAGCUAGUAACAGAUUAUGCUAACAAGUUUUUAAAAAUGCUUUAGAAAUUGAGCAAUUCCUUUCAAAUUGCAGGGCUUAUAGCUUGUGUGAUAAGUGUCUAAAAUUCAUUUGUAAAUAAGGAACUAGUGAUACUUUAAAUUUUUUAGUUAAAUUAUUUAUAGUUUUUAUUGAAUGUGUCCAUUAUCUUUCUUACUAAUCUCUAUUUUCAUAGUAAUAAAGUAUUAGACUUUCACUCCACGUGGUUGCUACAUUAAAGCCAGCAUAUAAAAGUUAAUGGGUGCAGGGCAGUGGUGAUGUACAUCUUUAAUCCCAGUGCGUGGGAGGCAGAGGUAUGUGGAUCUCUGGUUGAGGCCAGCUUGGUCUAGAGUAAGUUCCAAGACGCCCAGGUCAGGGCUGCACAGGGUGACCAAAAACCAAUCCAACCAACCAACCAACCAAACAAACAAAGCACUGGAAAGAGAGCGAAAGCAUUGAUGCAUGUUAGGUAUAAGGUUGUUCCAGGCUGAAAACAUAAACAUUUAUGGGAUCAAAUAGACAUUGACCUUUGGCUUGUUUGUUUGUUUGUUGGUUGGUCUUUUUUCUUUUCUUUUCUUUUUUUUUAGACAGGGUCUCACUUUGUGGCCCUGGCUGGCUUGGAACUCAGAGAUCUGCCUGUCUCUGCAUCCCACAUGCUGGGCAACAUUGCCCUAAUUUAAUAGCCUAUACUCAAGUAUUUAGUUCCUUUUUUAAAUGUCUUAAAAUAAUUUAAAGCUUUUGAUUACACAGGGAAGUCUUCAGAUGGUGACUUUUUAAGACUUUUGCUAGACUUUUCAGACAUGAGGUUUUUUUCGUAUACCUUAUUGUUACUUGAGUACUUACAAAGAAAAUCUUUUUCACGUAUCUAUUUUCAAAAUGUAGUUGUAGAAUUUGAGUUUUUUUGUUUAAGGCAUUUUAUUAGCUGAGGACCUAUUAGCUAUAAAGAAACUUGUUGGUGAAUAGCAGCCCCUAAGUGCUUGCUUUGUGCAGAGAGCUCUGUAGAACUCUGACAUGGGAAUGCACAGACAGCUAGCUCCUGAGGAAGUAAAUAGCUGUUAAAGAAUUGGUAUUUUUAGAUUAAUGUGUAUUUCUUUAAAAUAAACACAAAGUGUCUUAACCUAAGAAUGUUUUUUCGUAAUGGUCUAAAGAUUAUUAUGAUUUUGACUGGUUUUUCCUCUGAGUGACAAAAGAGAAAGCCUUGGUUCAAGUAGUCUGGCACUGGAAAUUUUGGGACUGCUGCUUUUGAGUUGUUGUGUUGGGAAGCACUUUUUUCUAGUUGUUUUGGUCAAAAAAAAUGUAUUUGGGUUUUAGAUGCAUUCAAUAUAACCAGCUAUGAUCAUAGAACUUCACUGUGGCAGUGAAAUGAACAUUACCACAGAUGUCUCUUGGCUUAUAAAUACAGAAUGAUCUUGGGAAAUAAUUUCUUGUCUCCAAAAUAUGAGACAACUAUUAACAAAGCAUUUUUGUUUUAGGUUUGGAUUUUCUUUCCCUUAUUCCAGUUGAUCCCCAGGUAUGUAUCCUGAAUUUAAGCAACUAAUUUGUAUUUGGUUGUUGAUUAUGUCAUACUAACUAAAAAUGAUCAGUUGCAUAAAAUCAGGACAGUAAAUUCUCAUGUGGCUAGAAAGGAAGUACUAUAUAAAUAUCACACUUUCAUUUGAAGGAAUAAAGUUACUCUUGUUCAAUCUAUUAUUUAUUGCUCUUAUUAAACUUUCUAUUUUU
rnacentral:lncRNA from 1 species